UAAGGAAUAUUGGACAAUGGUCGCAAGACUGAUCCAGCCAUGCCGCGUGCAGGAAGACGGCCCUAUGGGUUGUAAACUGCUUUUGUACCAGAGAAAACCUAUCUACGUGUAGAUAGCUGAUAGUAUGGUAAGAAUAAGCAUCGGCUAACUUCGUGCCAGCAGCCGCGGUAAGACGAAGGAUGCAAGCGUUAUCCGGAUUCAUUGGGUUUCAAGGGUGCGUAGGCGGGCUUGUAAGUCAGUGGUGAAAUCUCUCAGCUUAACUGAGAAACUGCCAUUGAUACUGCAGGCCUAGAGUAUAGGUGACGUUGGCGGAAUAUGACAUGUAGUGGUGAAAUACUUAGAGAUGUGAUAGAACACCGACUGCGAAGGCAGCUAACGAAACUA
rnacentral:rRNA from 1 species